rnacentral:rRNA from 1 species
UUGGUAGGUGGUCUUGUUUGUCUAAGGUGAAAUCCCAUGGCUUAACUGUGGAAGUGCCUUAGAAACGGCAAGACUAGAGUCCUAGAGGGGUUUGUGGAAUUCCCGGUGUAGCGGUGAAAUGCGUAGAGAUCGGGAGGAACACCAGCGGCGAAGGCGGCAAACUGGAUAGGCACUGACACUCAACAACGAAAGCGUGGGGAGCAAACAGGAUUAGAUACCCUGGUAGUCCACGCUGUAAACGAUGGGUACUAGGCUUUGUGGGAAUAGACCCCUGCAGAGCCGGAGCUAACGCAAUAAGUACCCCGCCUGGGAAGUACGGUCGCAAGACUAAA